rnacentral:rRNA from 1 species
UACGUAGGGUGCAAGCGUUUGUCCGGAAUUAUUGGGCGUAAAGAGCUCGUAGGCGGUUUGUCGCGUCUGCUGUGAAAUCCCGAGGCUCAACCUCGGGCUUGCAGUGGGUACGGGCAGACUAGAGUGCGGUAGGGGAGAUUGGAAUUCCUGGUGUAGCGGUGGAAUGCGCAGAUAUCAGGAGGACACCGAUGGCGAAGGCAGAUCUCUGGGCCGUAACUGACGCUGAGGAGCGAAAGCAUGGGGAGCGAACAGG